GGGUUGUGAGGUUAAGCGACUAAGCGUACACGGUGGAUGCCCUGGCAGUCAGAGGCGAUGAAGGACGUGCUAAUCUGCGAUAAGCGUCGGUAAGGUGAUAUGAACCGUUAUAACCGGCGAUUUCCGAAUGGGGAAACCCAGUGUGAUUCGUCACACUAUCAUUAACUGAAUCCAUAGGUUAAUGAGGCGAACCGGGGGAACUGAAACAUCUAAGUACCCCGAGGAAAAGAAAUCAACCGAGAUUCCCCCAGUAGCGGCGAGCGAACGGGGAGGAGCCCAGAGCCUGAAUCAGUGUGUGUGUUAGUGGAAGCGUCUGGAAAGGCGCGCGAUACAGGGUGACAGCCCCGUACACAAAAAUGCACAUACUGUGAGCUCGAUGAGUAGGGCGGGACACGUGGUAUCCUGUCUGAAUAUGGGGGGACCAUCCUCCAAGGCUAAAUACUCCUGACUGACCGAUAGUGAACCAGUACCGUGAGGGAAAGGCGAAAAGAACCCCGGCGAGGGGAGUGAAAAAGAACCUGAAACCGUGUACGUACAAGCAGUGGGAGCCUCUUUUAUGGGGUGACUGCGUACCUUUUGUAUAAUGGGUCAGCGACUUAUAUUCUGUAGCAAGGUUAACCGAAUAGGGGAGCCGAAGGGAAACCGAGUCUUAACCGGGCGUUAAGUUGCAGGGUAUAGACCCGAAACCCGGUGAUCUAGCCAUGGGCAGGUUGAAGGUUGGGUAACACUAACUGGAGGACCGAACCGACUAAUGUUGAAAAAUUAGCGGAUGACUUGUGGCUGGGGGUGAAAGGCCAAUCAAACCGGGAGAUAGCUGGUUCUCCCCGAAAGCUAUUUAGGUAGCGCCUCGUGAAUUCAUCUCCGGGGUAGAGCACUGUUUCGGCAAGGGGGUCAUCCCGACUUACCAACCCGAUGCAAACUGCGAAUACCGGAGAAUGUUAUCACGGGAGACACACGGCGGGUGCUAACGUCCGUCGUGAAGAGGGAAACAACCCAGACCGCCAGCUAAGGUCCCAAAGUCAUGGUUAAGUGGGAAACGAUGUGGGAAGGCCCAGACAGCCAGGAUGUUGGCUUAGAAGCAGCCAUCAUUUAAAGAAAGCGUAAUAGCUCACUGGUCGAGUCGGCCUGCGCGGAAGAUGUAACGGGGCUAAACCAUGCACCGAAGCUGCGGCAGCGACACUGUGUGUUGUUGGGUAGGGGAGCGUUCUGUAAGCCUGUGAAGGUGUACUGUGAGGUAUGCUGGAGGUAUCAGAAGUGCGAAUGCUGACAUAAGUAACGAUAAAGCGGGUGAAAAGCCCGCUCGCCGGAAGACCAAGGGUUCCUGUCCAACGUUAAUCGGGGCAGGGUGAGUCGACCCCUAAGGCGAGGCCGAAAGGCGUAGUCGAUGGGAAACAGGUUAAUAUUCCUGUACUUGGUGUUACUGCGAAGGGGGGACGGAGAAGGCUAUGUUGGCCGGGCGACGGUUGUCCCGGUUUAAGCGUGUAGGCUGGUUUUCCAGGCAAAUCCGGAAAAUCAAGGCUGAGGCGUGAUGACGAGGCACUACGGUGCUGAAGCAACAAAUGCCCUGCUUCCAGGAAAAGCCUCUAAGCAUCAGGUAACAUCAAAUCGUACCCCAAACCGACACAGGUGGUCAGGUAGAGAAUACCAAGGCGCUUGAGAGAACUCGGGUGAAGGAACUAGGCAAAAUGGUGCCGUAACUUCGGGAGAAGGCACGCUGAUAUGUAGGUGAAGUCCCUCGCGGAUGGAGCUGAAAUCAGUCGAAGAUACCAGCUGGCUGCAACUGUUUAUUAAAAACACAGCACUGUGCAAACACGAAAGUGGACGUAUACGGUGUGACGCCUGCCCGGUGCCGGAAGGUUAAUUGAUGGGGUCAGCGCAAGCGAAGCUCUUGAUCGAAGCCCCGGUAAACGGCGGCCGUAACUAUAACGGUCCUAAGGUAGCGAAAUUCCUUGUCGGGUAAGUUCCGACCUGCACGAAUGGCGUAAUGAUGGCCAGGCUGUCUCCACCCGAGACUCAGUGAAAUUGAACUCGCUGUGAAGAUGCAGUGUACCCGCGGCAAGACGGAAAGACCCCGUGAACCUUUACUAUAGCUUGACACUGAACAUUGAGCCUUGAUGUGUAGGAUAGGUGGGAGGCUUUGAAGUGUGGACGCCAGUCUGCAUGGAGCCGACCUUGAAAUACCACCCUUUAAUGUUUGAUGUUCUAACGUGGACCCGUGAUCCGGGUUGCGGACAGUGUCUGGUGGGUAGUUUGACUGGGGCGGUCUCCUCCUAAAGAGUAACGGAGGAGCACGAAGGUUGGCUAAUCCUGGUCGGACAUCAGGAGGUUAGUGCAAUGGCAUAAGCCAGCUUGACUGCGAGCGUGACGGCGCGAGCAGGUGCGAAAGCAGGUCAUAGUGAUCCGGUGGUUCUGAAUGGAAGGGCCAUCGCUCAACGGAUAAAAGGUACUCCGGGGAUAACAGGCUGAUACCGCCCAAGAGUUCAUAUCGACGGCGGUGUUUGGCACCUCGAUGUCGGCUCAUCACAUCCUGGGGCUGAAGUAGGUCCCAAGGGUAUGGCUGUUCGCCAUUUAAAGUGGUACGCGAGCUGGGUUUAGAACGUCGUGAGACAGUUCGGUCCCUAUCUGCCGUGGGCGCUGGAGAACUGAGGGGGGCUGCUCCUAGUACGAGAGGACCGGAGUGGACGCAUCACUGGUGUUCGGGUUGUCAUGCCAAUGGCACUGCCCGGUAGCUAAAUGCGGAAGAGAUAAGUGCUGAAAGCAUCUAAGCACGAAACUUGCCCCGAGAUGAGUUCUCCCUGACCCUUUAAGGGUCCUGAAGGAACGUUGAAGACGACGACGUUGAUAGGCCGGGUGUGUAAGCGCAGCGAUGCGUUGAGCUAACCGGUACUAAUGAACCGUGAGGCUUAACCUUACAACGCCGAAGGUGUUU
rnacentral:rRNA from 1 species